rnacentral:rRNA from 2 species
AUUCUAUAACCUACAACAAUGCCAGAAUAAUACGAACUCCUGUUUAAAAUUCAAAGAACUUGGCGGUGUCUAAUAAAAACAGGGGAACCUGUCCUUUAAUUCGAUAAUCCACGUCACCACUACCUCCUCUAACAAAGCCUGUGUACUGCCGUCGCCAGCCUACCUCUAAAAGAGUAUGCAAUACAUAUCUCAUCUAUUUCACGUCAGGUCAAAGUGCAGCUAAUGAGAAGGAAGAGAUGGGUUACAACCUUCACAAAGAAACGAACUUUCCCACAAACAGGAAACAAAGGUGGACUUGUAAGUAAUUAGACUUAUACUCUCAUGAAAGUGAAUCU